GAUUUCCGGUUGAUCCUGCCGGACCCGACUGCUAUCGGAUUGGGAUUUAGCCAUGUUAGUUGCGCGUCCUUGGCUACAGGAGACGCAGCGCACGGCUCAGUAACACGUAGUCAACCUGCCCUGGAGACGCGGACAAACCCGGGGAACUGGGGCCUAUCCGCGAUAGAUGACUUCAUCUGGAAGGAGAGGUCGUCCAAAAGGCGUCGCGAGUAUGCUUCGCGAAGGCCGCUCCAGGAUGGGACUGCGGCCGAUCAGGCUGUUGGCAGGGUAAUGGCCCACCAAACCUGUAACCGGUACGGGCUUUGAGAGAAGGAGCCCGGAGAUGGACACUGAGACAAGGGUCCAGGCCCUACGGGGCGCAUCAGGCGCGAAAACUUCGCAAUGCGCGAAAGCGUGACGAGGCUAGUCCGAGUGCUUUCCGCUGAGGAGAGCUUUUCUUGGCUGCAAAUAGGCCGGGGAAUAAGGGGAGGGCAAGUCUGGUGUCAGCCGCCGCGGUAAUACCAGCUCCUCGAGUGGUCGGGACGAUUAUUGGGCCUAAAGCACCCGUAGCCGGUUCUGUAAGUCCUCUGUUAAAUCCA
rnacentral:rRNA from 1 species